GAUGAACGCUGGCGGCGUGCUUAACACAUGCAAGUCGAACGGUGAAGGCGGAGCUUGCUCUGCUGGAUCAGUGGCGAACGGGUGAGUAACACAUGAGCAAUCUGCCCCUGACUCUGGGAUAAGCGCUGGAAACGGCGUCUAAUACUGGAUACGAGCUGCGAAGGCAUCUUCAGCAGCUGGAAAGAACUUCGGUCAGGGAUGAGCUCGCGGCCUAUCAGCUUGUUGGUGAGGUAACGGCUCACCAAGGCGUCGACGGGUAGCCGGCCUGAGAGGGUGACCGGCCACACUGGGACUGAGAUACGGCCCAGACUCCUACGGGAGGCAGCAGUGGGGAAUAUUGCACAAUGGGCGGAAGCCUGAUGCAGCAACGCCGCGUGAGGGACGACGGCCUUCGGGUUGUAAACCUCUUUUAGCAGGGAAGAAGCGAAAGUGACGGUACCUGCAGAAAAAGCGCCGGCUAACUACGUG
rnacentral:rRNA from 1 species